rnacentral:rRNA from 1 species
AUUGAACGCUGGUGGAAUGCUUUACACAUGCAAGUCGAACGGCAGCAUAGGUGCUUGCACCUGAUGGCGAGUGGCGAACGGGUGAGUAAUACAUCGGAACGUGCCCAGUCGUGGGGGAUAACGUAGCGAAAGUUACGCUAAUACCGCAUACGAUCUAAGGAUGAAAGCGGGGGACCGUAAGGCCUCGCGCGAUUGGAGCGGCCGAUGUCAGAUUAGGUAGUUGGUGAGGUAAAGGCUCACCAAGCCGACGGUCUGUAGCUGGGCUGAGAGGACGACCAGCCACACUGGGACUGAGACACGGCCAAGACUCCUACGGGAGGCAGCAGUGGGGAAUUUUGGACAAUGGACGCAAGUCUGAUCCAGCCAUUCCGCGUGCAGGACGAAGGCCUUCGGGUUGUAAACUGCUUUUGUACAGAACGAAAAGGUUCCUAUUAAUACUAGGGGCUCAUGACGGUACUGUAAGAAUAAGCACCGGCUAACUACGUGCCAGCCGCCGCCGUAA